GCGAGGCCGAAAGGCGUAGUCGAUGGGAAACAGGUUAAUAUUCCUGUACUUGGUGUUACUGCGAAGGGGGGACGGAGAAGGCUAUGUUGGCCGGGCGACGGUUGUCCCGGUUUAAGCGUGUAGGCUGGUUUUCCAGGCAAAUCCGGAAAAUCAAGGCUGAGGCGUGAUGACGAGGCACUACGGUGCUGAAGCAACAAAUGCCCUGCUUCCAGGAAAAGCCUCUAAGCAUCAGGUAACAUCAAAUCGUACCCCAAACCGACACAGGUGGUCAGGUAGAGAAUACCAAGGCGCUUGAGAGAACUCGGGUGAAGGAACUAGGCAAAAUGGUGCCGUAACUUCGGGAGAAGGCACGCUGAUAUGUAGGUGAAGUCCCUUGCGGAUGGAGCUGAAAUCAGUCGAAGAUACCAGCUGGCUGCAACUGUUUAUUAAAAACACAGCACUGUGCAAACACGAAAGUGGACGUAUACGGUGUGACGCCUGCCCGGUGCCGGAAGGUUAAUUGAUGGGGUCAGCGCAAGCGAAGCUCUUGAUCGAAGCCCCGGUAAACGGCGGCCGUAACUAUAACGGUCCUAAGGUAGCGAAAUUCCUUGUCGGGUAAGUUCCGACCUGCACGAAUGGCGUAAUGAUGGCCAGGCUGUCUCCACCCGAGACUCAGUGAAAUUGAACUCGCUGUGAAGAUGCAGUGUACCCGCGGCAAGACGGAAAGACCCCGUGAACCUUUACUAUAGCUUGACACUGAACAUUGAGCCUUGAUGUGUAGGAUAGGUGGGAGGCUUUGAAGUGUGGACGCCAGUCUGCAUGGAGCCGGCCUUGAAAUACCACCCUUUAAUGUUUGAUGUUCUAACGUGGACCCGUGAUCCGGGUUGCGGACAGUGUCUGGUGGGUAGUUUGACUGGGGCGGUCUCCUCCUAAAGAGUAACGGAGGAGCACGAAGGUUGGCUAAUCCUGGUCGGACAUCAGGAGGUUAGUGCAAUGGCAUAAGCCAGCUUGACUGCGAGCGUGACGGCGCGAGCAGGUGCGAAAGCAGGUCAUAGUGAUCCGGUGGUUCUGAAUGGAAGGGCCAUCGCUCAACGGAUAAAAGGUACUCCGGGGAUAACAGGCUGAUACCGCCCAAGAGUUCAUAUCGACGGCGGUGUUUGGCACCUCGAUGUCGGCUCAUCACAUCCUGGGGCUGAAGUAGGUCCCAAGGGUAUGGCUGUUCGCCAUUUAAAGUGGUACGCGAGCUGGGUUUAGAACGUCGUGAGACAGUUCGGUCCCUAUCUGCCGUGGGCGCUGGAGAACUGAGGGGGGCUGCUCCUAGUACGAGAGGACCGGAGUGGACGCAUCACUGGUGUUCGGGUUGUCAUGCCAAUGGCACUGCCCGGUAGCUAAAUGCGGAAGAGAUAAGUGCUGAAAGCAUCUAAGCACGAAACUUGCCCCGAGAUGAGUUCUCCCUGACCCUUUAAGGGUCCUGAAGGAACGUUGAAGACGACGACGUUGAUAGGCCGGGUGUGUAAGCGCAGCGAUGCGUUGAGCUAACCGGUACUAAUGAACCGUGAGGCUUAACCUU
rnacentral:rRNA from 1 species